UACGUAGGGGGCAAGCGUUGUCCGGAUUUAUUGGGCGUAAAGAGCGUGUAGGCGGCCUGACAGGUCUGCUGUGAAAACUCGAGGCUCAACCUCGAGAUGUCGGCGGAAACCGUCUGGCUAGAGUCCGGAAGAGGAGAGUGGAAUUCCUGGUGUAGCGGUGAAAUGCGCAGAUAUCAGGAGGAACACCGGUGGCGAAGGCGCUCAUCUGGCCCAAUACUGACGCUGAGGCGCGAAAGCUAGGGGAGCAAACGGG
rnacentral:rRNA from 1 species